rnacentral:rRNA from 1 species
UACAGAGGGGGCAAGCGUUGUUCGGAAUUACUGGGCGUAAGGGCGCGUAGGCGGCCUGCUAAGUCGAACGUGAAAUCCCUGGGCUCAACCCAGGAACUGCGUCCGAUACUGGUUGGCUUGAAUCCGGGAGAGGGAUGCGGAAUUCCGGGUGUAGCGGUGAAAUGCGUAGAUAUCCGGAGGAACACCGGUGGCGAAGGCGGCUUCCUGGACCGACACUGACGCUGAGGCGCGAAAGCUAGGGGAGCAAACGGG